rnacentral:sRNA from 1 species
CACAUAUUGGUAUACUAAUUUAAUAGAGAAGUUAAGGCGGUGGCUGUUCUUUGAAAGAGGUGAUGCUUAUGGUGUAAAAACUAUUUGUAUAACAUUCUGGGAAAGGAAUCGGUCGAGUGUCCAUUGUGGACGCUCUAGAGUUAAUGCUAGCAUUUGCCACGUUUGUGGUUUUGCUAUUGGGAUUAAU